AGAGUUUGAUCCUGGCUCAGAAUGAACGCUGGCGGCGUGCUUUACACAUGCAAGUCGAGCGAGGCGCGGUAGCAAUACCGCAGUCGAGCGGCGAACGGGUGAGUAACGCGUGGAUGACCUGCCCUUCAGCGGGGAAUAACCCGGGGAAACUCGGGCUAAUACCGCAUACGACCGAGAGGUGAAAGGGGGCCGCAAGGCUCUCACUGAAGGAGGGGUCCGCGUUCGAUUAGCUAGUUGGUAGGGUAAUGGCCUACCAAGGCGACGAUCGAUAGCCGGCCUGAGAGGGUGAUCGGCCACACUGGAACUGAGACACGGUCCAGACUCCUACGGGAGGCAGCAGUGGGGAAUUUUGCGCAAUGGGCGAAAGCCUGACGCAGCAACGCCGCGUGGAGGAUGAAGGUCCUUGGAUUGUAAACUCCUGUCAGCGGGGAAAAAGCGACUCGACCUCAUACGUCGGGGAGUUGAUUGUACCCGCAGAGGAAGCCCCGGCUAACUCUGUGCCAGCAGCGGCGGUAAUAC
rnacentral:rRNA from 1 species